UACGAAGGGGGCUAGCGUUGCUCGGAAUCACUGGGCGUAAAGCGCUCGUAGGCGGCUUUUUAAGUCAGGGGUGAAAUCCUGGAGCUCAACUCCAGAACUGCCUUUGAUACUGGGAAGCUUGAGGCCGGGAGAGGUGAGUGGAACUCCGAGUGUAGAGGUGAAAUUCGUAGAUAUUCGGAAGAACAUCAGUGGCGAAGGCGGCUCACUGGCCCGGUACUGACGCUGAGGUGCGAAAGCGUGGGGAGCAAACAGG
rnacentral:rRNA from 1 species